CAAAUGGAGUUUGCUUUAGAAUGGGUCCUAACUAAACUGUUCCACAAAGAUGAACCAUGAAAUUGUCCAAAACGUCUUGUUCUGCGGAAGCAUUAAGAGUUCCUUUGACUGGAACUAAGGAGCCAAG